rnacentral:lncRNA from 1 species
GCACUUUUAUUGGACUUGUUGUGUUGCAUGUAACAUAGUCCCUCUUGCUCACCUCCAAAACUGAGUCUGUUUUUCCAUCAUACUUCCACACUGCCAAAAAUAUGUAGAAAAAAAAGAAAUAGUCAUUGACAUAUAAUCUUCAUUACAACAACAAAAUAAGUGUAAUCUCACAAGUGGGGUUUGGAGAAGGUAAAGAAAUACGCGUGGACCUUACCCCUACCUCGAGAAGCAGUACUAACAAAUAUGAAGAUUGAACUUCAUUAGAUGUACCAAAAAAGAAAGAGCUUUUCAGCUCAAUUGGAGCUACAUGAAAUGAAAAACUAUAAAGUUGAGAUUCUUGAACAUACCAAGUGAAUCUCCAACAAGGAAUCGACGUUUUUCAGCCCAGUGAUUGAGGGAAUCAGAUUCAGAAGAAGGAAUUUUCCAAGAAUCAUUUUUCCCACCAACCAAAUGCUCUCUUGCUU